GGUCAUCAAGGGGAAACAUCUACAGAUAGUUGUCUCUACAUGUUGUAGAAGGUCAUCAAGGGGAAACAUCUACAGAUAGUUGUCUCUACAUAUUGUAGAAGGUCAUCUACAGAUAGUUGUCUCUACAUGUUGUAGAAGGUCAUCACGGGGAAACAUCUACAGAUAGUUGUCUCUACAUAUUGUAGAAGGUCAUCACGGGGAAACAUCUACAGAUAGUUGUCCCUACAUGUUGUAGAAGGUCAUCAAGGGGAAACAUCUACAGAUAGUUGUCUCUACAUAUUGUAGAAGGUCAUCUACAGAUAGUUGUCUCUACAUGUUGUAGAAGGUCAUCACGGGGAAACAUCUACAGAUAGUUGUCUCUACAUAUUGUAGAAGGUCAUCUACAGAUAGUUGUCUCUACAUAUUGUAGAAGGUCAUCACGGGGAAACAUCUACAGAUAGUUGUCUCUACAUAUUGUAGAAGGUCAUCACGGGGAAACAUCUACAGAUAGUUGUCUCUACAUGUUGUAGAAGGUCAUCAUGGGGAAACAUCUACAGAUAGUUGUCUCUACAUGUUGUAGAAGGUCAUCUACAGAUAGUUGUCUCUACAUAUUGUAGAAGGUCAUCUACAGAUAGUUGUCUCUACAUGUUGUAGAAGGUCAUCACAGGGAAACAUCUACAGAUAGUUGUCUCUACAUAUUGUAGAAGGUCAUCUACAGAUAGUUGUCUCUACAUGUUGUAGGUCAUCACGGGGAAACAUCUACAGAUAGUUGUCCCUACAUGUUGUAGAAGGUCAUCACGGGGAAACAUCUACAGAUAGUUGUCUCUACAUGUUGUAGAAGGUCAUCACAGGGAAACAUCUACAGAUAGUUGUCUCUACAUAUUGUAGAAGGUCAUCUACAGAUAGUUGUCUCUACAUGUUGUAGAAGGUCAUCACGGGGAAACAUCUACAGAUAGUUGUCUCUACAUGUUGUAGAAGGUCAUCACAGGGAAACAUCUACAGAUAGUUGUCUCUACAUGUUGUAGAAGGUCAUCUACAGAUAGUUGUCUCUACAUGUUGUAGAAGGUCAUCACAGGGAAACAUCUACAGAUAGUUGUCUCUACAUAUUGUAGAAGGUCAUCUACAGAUAGUUGUCUCUACAUGUUGUAGGUCAUCACGGGGAAACAUCUACAGAUAGUUGUCCCUACAUGUUGUAGAAGGUCAUCACGG